rnacentral:lncRNA from 1 species
CAAAAAUGAUAAUCAUGAUAAGAAAAAAAACAAUAACACCUGGAAGCUACUGCGUAAGAUGAUUACAUCUCAAUAUCUCAUCAUUUAUUUCAAAUCAUGAUUUUUUAAUUCGAUUUCAAAUCAUGAUUGUCAUGACAUACAUCAUUCCUCACAGUAAUCCAAAUCCAAAUACAUUGCCCAUGGCCAUGCCAAGGCGUCAGGGGAGCGCUGCGGCCGGGGGCUGGCAGCCACAGCCGACCGCGCACUGCGGUCUCGUCGGAAAGCAAGGCUCUCCCGCUACAUGCGAACAACAGUAACACACAUCUGGAGCUUGCUGCCAUCCAUCUGACCGCUUGUUCGACCUGUACCAAAGCAAAGAAAGAUCGAUUAGAUCAGGCUGUCAGCAGGUGAUCAAAUAAUUUAUGAAGCACCCAAAAAGUUUCCGAGAAUUUUCUCGGAUUCACUUUGUAAGCAAUUCACCGAAACUAGGCGGUGAUCGAAUGAUUUUUGAAAACAGCUAAACUUCUACAAGAAUUCAAACGAUUACUUUCCGAAGUAGGUAGUACGACUUACACUCUGAAAGUAUUGUGGUACAUGCGAGGAUGAUCAUCAUAAGCAUCACAGCC